rnacentral:rRNA from 1 species
UACGGGGGGGGCAAGCGUUGUCCGGAAUUAUUGGGCGUAAAGAGUUCGUAGGCGGUUAUCUAAGUCUGGUGUUAAAGCCCGAAGCUCAACUUCGGCAUGGCAUUGGAAACUGGGUAGCUAGAGUGUGGUAGAGGUAUCGGGAAUUCCUGGUGUAGCGGUGAAAUGCGUAGAUAUCAGGAGGAACACCGGCGGCGAAAGCGCGAUACUGGGCCAUAACUGACGCUGAGGAACGAAAGCCAGGGGAGCGAAAGGG